AAGUCGGGAAACUUUGGUUCCGCCCGGAUGUUUCCGCCCAGACCGAAGAACGGAAACACCGGACAUCCGGCAGCCUCGCGAAGGCUGUAAUCAGCCGAUUGAGCACAGCUGUGCCUAGUUAAAGAGAUCGCCGGGCAAUUGGACAACUGGAGGACAUGAAGGAGUAUUUAAAGCACAGUUAAAUGACAGUUCGGGAGUUCGGGCACGAGAGGGGGACUGACACGGGGAAAGCUCCUCUGCUUAAUGCAGAAAACGUAACUACGUACCUUUUGAAGAGCCCGCAGGCUCUGUUGAUCCGGGCUGCGCUUGGAGCGCGCGGAAAGAAGACAGGAGCUGCCUGGGGUGAAAGAAAGGCGAUACGUGGGUGGAGAAAAGGAGCACCCCGAAGAGAGCAUUGUGCUGACGGGUGCGUAGUGUGUGCUGAGAAACGGAGCUGUGCUCAUUGUUGGACGGGGUGGCUGUCUGUGUUUCUCUCUCUCUCUCUCUCUCGUUGUAGUCUGUAUUGUGGACCUGCUGGAGUAAACAGGAAAAUCCUAUGGGUAAAAAGGAACUUUGUUCUAACCAAUACUGAAGGAGUAAAGCAGGAAGAAAAUUGACCUUCUGGUACAACGUAAACAAAGGCUAUUCGCCGUGAGUAUACCCUUUUGGUGUGGAGUAACUUGCAAAAAUUAACUUGUGUAACCAUUGGAAACCUCCAGGAGAAGGAGGGCGGCCCUACCCCUACAAUAGUGUGGUGGGCGAGCCGUUAGAAGUACAAAUUCAAACAGCCACCGCAACGAGACUUUAUUGUGGUCGUAUUUCCCAUCGCCCCUAUCUUAGCCCAAGCGCAGUGGAGGACACCGGGCGCUUCCCUUGUUGUGGUGCACUUAUGGUGUGGUGAGUGAGACUGUGUAAUAAAUCUUUUCACGUUGGAGUGGUGCUGUGUAUUUGCUGUGGGUUGCUGUGUGUCUUGUAGACGAAGCCCCGCAUCAUCCAUUUUCUUCUACUGGGCAGAGGACGGAGAGGCCAACGACCUCAGAAAUUACUGUUACCAUAUGUAGUGUGCUGCUCGGAGUACGAAGGAACGCAGACCAAGAGCUGUCAGUGACUGGGAGUAAAAUAUUGGAAAUAUUCGUGGUGUAAACUUACCUGUGUCUGUUUUGUCGCAGAGUCAGAGGCGAAAGGGUCCGCCGCCCCCGCGGUCUCUACAAAGGGGCGCCCCUGUCCAGGAUUCGAUCGGCCUACGGGCAGUGGAGAUGGGGCAGCGCUCGACCCGGUGAGGUGGUGUGUGACCUUCGCCCCUCUACUGACCUACGGAGGAAACCAUACCUACCCAGAAAGCUGUAAACAGCAGAGCCGCGGCCACCUGUGGAGAGAGAGAAGAACGAGAGUGAAUAAUUGGAGAGCAGACUGUGAACGUGAUACCUACCCAGAGAGCUGUAAGCAGCAGAGCCGGUGAGAAAUACUCGAAGUCCAAGUACAGUGUCUUUGUGUCUUAGUGGCCGCCUGUGGAGAGAAAGGAAAACGAGAAUGAACAUGAGGAGAAUGGGCCGUGUGAAGAUACAGUGGUGGUGGAGGAGAGCCUAGAGUGGCCAUUAUUUUAAGUUCCCCUUUUCCCCUUCCCUAUUUAAUAUUUUUAAGUAAUUUAAUAAAGGAUAUUUUAAUUUUA